UGGGGAAUAUUGCACAAUGGGCGCAAGCCUGAUGCAGCCAUGCCGCGUGUGUGAAGAAGGCCUUCGGGUUGUAAAGUACUUUCAGCGGGGAGGAAGGGAGUAAAGUUAAUACCUUUGCUCAUUGACGUUACCCGCAGAAGAAGCACCGGCUAACUCCGUGCCAGCAGCCGCGGUAAUACGGAGGGUGCAAGCGUUAAUCGGAAUUACUGGGCGUAAAGCGCACGCAGGCGGUUUGUUAAGUCAGAUGUGAAAUCCCCGGGCUCAACCUGGGAACUGCAUCUGAUACUGGCAAGCUUGAGUCUCGUAGAGGAGGGUAGAAUUCCAGGUGUAGCGGUGAAAUGCGUAGAGAUCUGGAGGAAUACCGGUGGCGAAGGCGGCCCCCUGGACGAAGACUGACGCUCAGGUGCGAAAGCGUGGGGAGCAAACAGG
rnacentral:rRNA from 1 species